rnacentral:rRNA from 1 species
GAUGAACGCUAGCGGCAGGCUUAACACAUGCAAGUCGAGGGGCAUCACGGGUAGCAAUACCUGGUGGCGACCGGCGCAAGGGUGCGUAACGCGUGAGCAACAUGCCCUAUACAGGGGGAUAAUCCAGGGAAACUUGGUCUAAUAUCCCAUAGCAUUUAGAGGUGGCAUCACCAUUAAAUUAAAGCUUCGGUGGUAUAGGAUUGGCUCGCGUGACAUUAGCUAGAUGGUGGGGUAACGGCUCACCAUGGCUAUGAUGUCUAGGGGUUCUGAGAGGAAGACCCCCCACACUGGGACUGAGACACGGCCCAGACUCCUACGGGAGGCAGCAGUGAGGAAUAUUGGACAAUGGAUGGAAAUCUGAUCCAGCCAUGCCGCGUGCAGGAAGACGGCCCUAUGGGUUGUAAACUGCUUUUAUAUGGGAGCAAUAAGGUCUACGAGUAGACCGAUGAGAGUACCAUAUGAAUAAGCAUCGGCUAA